UACGUAGGGUGCAAGCGUUGUCCGGAAUUAUUGGGCGUAAAGAGCUCGUAGGCGGCUCGUCGCGUCGGCUGUGAAAACCCGCGGCUUAACUGUGGGCUUGCAGCUGAUACGGGCGGGCUAGAGUUCGGUAGGGGAGACUGGAAUUCCUGGUGUAGCGGUGAAAUGCGCAGAUAUCAGGAGGAACACCGGUGGCGAAGGCGGGUCUCUGGGCCGAUACUGACGCUGAGGAGCGAAAGCGUGGGGAGCGAACAGG
rnacentral:rRNA from 1 species